rnacentral:rRNA from 1 species
GACGUAGGGCGCGAGCGUUGUCCGGAUUUAUUGGGCGUAAAGAGCUCGUAGGCGGCUUGUCGCGUCGACCGUGAAAACUUGGGGCUCAACCCCAAGCCUGCGGUCGAUACGGGCAGGCUAGAGUUCGGUAGGGGAGACUGGAAUUCCUGGUGUAGCGGUGAAAUGCGCAGAUAUCAGGAAGAACACCCCGUGGCGAAGGCGGUUCUCUGGGACGGUACUGACGCUGAGACGCGAAAGCAUGGGGAGCGAACAGG